GACGAACCGUGCGAACGUUAUUCGGAAUCAUUGGGCUUAAAGAGCGCGUAGGCGGCGUCGUAAGUUGGAGGUGAAAUCCCAUCGGCUCAACCGUGGAACUGCCCCCAAUACUGCGAUGCUCGAGGGAGGUAGGGGCACGUGGAACUUUCAGUGGAGCGGUGAAAUGCGUUGAGAUUGGAAGGAACGCCAGUGGCGAAAGCGACGUGCUGGAUCUCUACUGACGCUGAGGCGCGAAAGCUAGGGGAGCGAACGGG
rnacentral:rRNA from 1 species